UACGUAGGGUGCGAGCGUUGUCCGGAAUUAUUGGGCGUAAAGGGCUCGUAGGCGGUUUGUCGCGUCGGGAGUGAAAACUCAGGGCUCAACCCUGUGCGUGCUUCCGAUACGGGCAGACUAGAGGUAUGCAGGGGAGAACGGAAUUCCUGGUGUAGCGGUGGAAUGCGCAGAUAUCAGGAGGAACACCGGUGGCGAAGGCGGUUCUCUGGGCAUUACCUGACGCUGAGGAGCGAAAGCAUGGGGAGCGAACAGG
rnacentral:rRNA from 1 species